GACGUAGGGUGCGAGCGUUGUCCGGAUUUAUUGGGCGUAAAGAGCUCGUAGGCGGCUUGUCGCGUCGACCGUGAAAACUUGGGGCUCAACCCCAAGCCUGCGGUCGAUACGGGCAGGCUAGAGUGCGGUAGGGGAGACUGGAAUUCCUGGUGUAGCGGUGAAAUGCGCAGAUAUCAGGAGGAACACCGGUGGCGAAGGCGGGUCUCUGGGCCGUAACUGACGCUGAGGAGCGAAAGCGUGGGGAGCGAACAGG
rnacentral:rRNA from 1 species